rnacentral:lncRNA from 1 species
GUGGAGGAGUUCCGACUGGUGUCCGUACAGGAGCUGAUGGAGCUGGUGUGCAGUGCCGAGUUCAAGACCACCAGCGCGCCCGUCACGCUCGACUUCCUCGUGCGUCAUGGCUUCAUCACGCCCGACAACGAGCCCCACUACCUGGAGGUGUGUGAGCUGCUGCACGUGCCGCUGCAGGUCGUCUACAACACGGGCCGGCUGUUUGGCGGCCUGCGGCCCGUCUGAGCGGUGUCCCGGCGACAGAGCGUCCCUCUUCCCUGCCCCGUCGUGAGCCGCAGGGGUGGCGACGAGCUGGAUGUAACCGCACCGGCCGGCGGAACCGUCACCUCGGGUGGAGCACCGACACUGACGGGAGCGGUCGGCGCCGGCGGUGCUCAGAGGUGACCGCGCAGCUCCAGCGCCGCGCCACGCGCGUCAUGCUCCGAUGCCAGGAUGCCCCUCAGGUGACCGCGUGGCCCCAGCGCCAUGGCGUGUGAUACUCUCCGACUGUUUGGUGUGGCGUCAGUAUGAGGGGGCGUCUCCCGGUCCCGCCAGCCCCGGCAGGCGCGCUGGGUGGCUGUUGGGGAGCAGAGU